rnacentral:rRNA from 1 species
AUGGGAGCUUGCUCCCAUUUCUCAGCGGCGGACGGGUGAGUAACACGUGGGCAACCUGCCCUGCAGACUGGGAUAACUCCGGGAAACCGGAGCUAAUACCGGGUAAUACRUAGCAUCGCAUGAUGCAACGUUGAAAGUUGGCCUUUGGCUAACACUGUAGGAUGGGCCCGCGGCGCAUUAGCUAGUUGGUAAGGUAACGGCUUACCAAGGCCACGAUGCGUAGCCGACCUGAGAGGGUGAUCGGCCACACUGGGACUGAGACACGGCCCAGACUCCUACGGGAGGCAGCAGUAGGGAAUCUUCCGCAAUGGACGAAAGUCUGACGGAGCAACGCCGCGUGAGUGACGAAGGCCUUCGGGUCGUAAAGCUCUGUUGUUAGGGAAGAACAAGUACCGUUCGAAUAGGGCGGUACCUUGACGGUACCUAACCAGAAAGCCACGGCUAACUACGUGCCAGCAGCCGCGGUAAUACGUAGGUGGCAAGCGUUGUCCGGAAUUAUUGGGCGUAAAGCGCGCGCAGGCGGUCUCUUAAGUCUGAUGUGAAAGCCCACGGCUCAACCGUGGAGGGCCAUUGGAAACUGGGGGACUUGAGUGCAGAAGAGGAGAGUGGAAUUCCACGUGUAGCGGUGAAAUGCGUAGAUAUGUGGAGGAACACCAGUGGCGAAGGCGGCUCUCUGGUCUGUAACUGACGCUGAAGCGCGAAAGCGUGGGGAGCGAACAGGAUUAGAUACCCUGGUAGUCCACGCCGUAAACGAUGAGUGCUAGGUGUUGGGGGGUUCCACCCUCAGUGCUGAAGUUAACACAUUAAGCACUCCGCCUGGGGAGUACGACCGCAAGGUUGAAACUCAAAGGAAUUGACGGGGGCCCGCACAAGCAGUGGAGCAUGUGGUUUAAUUCGAAGCAACGCGAAGAACCUUACCAGGUCUUGACAUCCUCUGCCACUCCUAGAGAUAGGACGUUCCCCUUCGGGGGACAGAGUGACAGGUGGUGCAUGGUUGUCGUCAGCUCGUGUCGUGAGAUGUUGGGUUAAGUCCCGCAACGAGCGCAACCCUUGAUCUUAGUUGCCAGCAUUCAGUUGGGCACUCUAAGGUGACUGCCGGUGACAAACCGGAGGAAGGUGGGGACGACGUCAAAUCAUCAUGCCCCUUAUGACCUGGGCUACACACGUGCUACAAUGGACGGUACAAAGGGCUGCGACACCGCGAGGUGAAGCGAAUCCCAUAAAGCCGUUCUCAGUUCGGAUUGUAGGCUGCAACUCGCCUACAUGAAGCCGGAAUUGCUAGUAAUCGCGGAUCAGCAUGCCGCGGUGAAUACGUUCCCGGGCCUUGUACACACCGCCCGUCACACCACGAGAGUUUGUAACACCCGAAGUCGGUGAGGUAACCUUUUGGAGCCAGCCGCCGAAGGUGGGACAAAUGAUUGGGGUGAAGUCGUAACAAG